AUGCUCGCUCCUUUCACAUCUCUAGGGAAGACCUUACCAGGGGUUACCACGGCAGCUUCGGCGUUAGCACCCGGACAAAAUGUCGACCACGGACUCCGAGACUUUAACCCCUCGGACGAGGUGCAGGUGUUUGACCAACAGGAGAGGAGGGAGGAAGUGAAAGUCGGAGGUGUAAGUGGCCACAACAAAGACUCGCCAGUCAUCGCAGGAACUAAGCCUCUGCUCAGCAAAAAGGUGGAAAUAAAUGGUACCAUACCCAAAGACACAGAAAGGUCUUCAUUGUACAGGAAGCCAAACGUCUCAGGCCCUUUCCGUUUAAACACAACCAGAUUUUUGUCCAGAUGGAGACAGUUUGGUCCAGGUCCUUUGAAAAAGCUCCCGGUGGGUCAAAAGAAGAAGCCACCGACAGGACCCCUAAAACUUAAACCAGAUGUACCCGCUAGUGGAGACAGGACAAUGGCUUUGACUUUGAGAGACCCGGAUGUGAACGCGUUAACGCCUGAGGCCUGUUCCAAUACAAGCAGACGGAGUAGCUCCGAGAAACCGACCGCCGAUGCUGGCACCAAAGAGCAAACAGAUGUUGGCCGGGUCGGCCAGGGAAAUGACACUCCAGUGUCUUCGGAGCCAACUGGGACCGGUCGAAGCCAACAGAAGAAAUGCAUGAACAAACUUAAAGUGACACCUUUUAGAUUACCCAAUCGGGGCACAGGCAGCGGGUGUAAAGGACAUGGAACCGUACUGGUAGCAAAGACCACCGGUUCCGAUCAAGGUUCCCCUGAAACAGAUGAUUUGAAACCCUCGGAGACAGAUGUCGACUAUUCACCCGAUCCUUUAGUAAAACUCCUGAUGGACACUUUUGACGAUUUGAACAUCACAACUUUUUCUGUUCACCUGUCAAAACCAUCAAAUCUCUCAGUAACAGCAACAAGGCAGAUUUUAAGGGAAUUGAGGCCGUUAGUGCCUUUCUCGUCCGCCUCGCAUUCAUCCGCACAGUCAUCAUCUUCCUCAUCCUCUUUAUCCUCACCUUCACUUGGUCCGUCUUCUUCAACAGCAGCUCCCUCACCACCACAUUCACCAUCAUCCUCUCUUUCCAGCUCAGAUAGAUCAGAUUUAAUUGGAAGCAAUGAGCCAGAUGUUGAUAACAACAAAAGUGUGAGUCACGUUACCUCACCUCAGGACGGAAAACUGCAACCCACAGGAACUCUUUUCCAACGUCCACCUGCAAAACAUGGAUAUGUACGUCGCCUGCGCCCAAACUUUGGAUCGCAUCAGAACAAAACCCAUCUGAAUUUGGGAGUUCCUCACCAUUUGACUCGUCGUUUAAAUCUUGGCCCGAAAAGACAGACAGAGACGAGGCAUACAUCCACGAUUCAACUACCAUCUUCAACGUUUUCAUCUGCCUCAGUGGAAUCUUCAGUUGCGGUAGAGACACCAGUAAGGCAUAUGAGUGGAGACAAAGAUGGGGCAACUACAAUGGCAUCAUCUGGAGUUGAACAAAACCAGACAAUGGCACCAACAGAAGGAGAACGAAUUCCAGUUCGGCGUCUUCCUCCAAAGGGACGAUACCUGCUGCGUAAUCCGAUUAUCAGGGGGUUUCAGAAUCGGACUCAUUCAAAUUUGAGGCAGGUGCCUUCGCCUUCACAACCUAUAAUUCCUGCAUUAGAUGCAAGAAUAGACCAGGUAUCUUCUGCUGUAUUGCUGGCCACUUCUUCUUCUCCUGUUUCCAACGGAUCCUUUCCAACUGAAGGUUGGGGGCCAAUAGUAGCCGAGAAUGUAGACAGAGUAGAGACAAGAAUGCCCUCAACAAGUAUGUCCACUGAGUUCAAUCAGACCAUCAGAGGGAUUGGAGUGCCUUCCUCUCAUCGCCCCACUCACAGAGUUGGUUAUGUCCGUCAACUGUAUGCUAGACAUUUCCAGGAGGCCCCCUUGCCUUCCCAAGGAGUCCAAACAAGACCAUCGGGAGAACACAACACUGCAGAGGUUAUUCCACAUUCCCUAAUGGAUGACCAGAAUUCAACGGUCAGACCCCAGAUUAACAAAUUACAAGGUUGGGACAAUGCUCCAAACCAAACCACUAAAUUGGGAGCCGAAAUAAUUCACACCUCAGAUUCAAGGUCUAACACCCACAAAGACAGAGCCAAUGCUGGCAAAAUCACAAGAGUUACAAGUCAAGGUGGACCAAAACUCCACCUGCCAUCAAAAGGUGCAACCGCACAGCGUCACGCCCAGAUAAGAGGCUACAACAGCGGGGAAACAAAAACAGAUGAUACCACCAAAGGUUUGUUGGAGAGUAAACCUGAGCAGACAAGAGGUGUUGAUUCAACAGAUGGUUCCUCUUCCGGAGACACAAGAGAACCUCUGGACCAAGUGGGAGUCACAAACCGGACCUCAGAUGGAUUUACGCUCACGUGGGACUCUCCGGAAAAGAAGUACAAGAACUUUGUGGUGACAAGCAAAGACGUUCAAACCAAAGGAACAGAAUCUCAAAAGGAAGAUAGAGUGACUGAAAGUGUCUCCCAACAAAGUCCAAAGAUUCCAACAAGUACAGAAACUAAACCUGUUCCAGGAAGCGACAAAACUUUGAAAAACAUACUUCCUGGAUCCGCUCGCUCUUUCCGGUUUGAGCAUCUUUAUCCUCAGACCAAGUACACCGUGACCUUGCUCGGAAAGGGACCCGGCCUCCUGUCCAGACUGCACAAGCUUGUCAUCAGUACAGGUACAAGUCAUUGUGACAGUGGCCCAUUGACUGCACAAUGCUACAACAUUACCGCCAAUGUUGUGAGGUCCUUCAUAGGAAACUCGCACCGGCACCUUGAUUUAAACUCAAAAAUACUCAUUAACUAG
ensembl:lncRNA